AGAUGGGUGCUCAUGGUGGCCUCCAAAUAAAUACAUGGACAGGCUGCUAAAGAGGGUCAGGAUGAUGGAGAUGCAAGAGCCAAAGACAGCACGGACCAAACACCAGGCCAGAAUUCUGCAUGAUUCAGAUUGAGUAAUUUUCACUCUAGAGACCCUGGGGUGACCACCAAGGACGAAUGAAAACUCCAGUGAGUGUCUCUAAGGUAGAUCCUAAUGCAGAUGGAUGGAAUGUUGAUCCGCCUAACAUGCAAGAUUUUCUGUACCGAAACUUUGGAUGACCAUCAAGACAAGCACUCGUUUUGAGUCCUGAGACCCUGGGGUGACCACCGUGAACAAAUACAGACUGCAAAAAGGCAGUCUUGACGGUUCUAGGAUGAAUGCAAAUAAAGACUGACCACCUGACUUCAGCGGUCCAGUCUCUUGUGGGAAGCAGCUGUUUGUUACCCCAAAUACGGAUGAAGAGUGACGAAGAGGAUGAUGACU